ACGCUCGACACCUACGGAGGCAGCAGUGGGGAAUAUUGCACAAUGGGGGAAACCCUGAUGCAGCGACGCCGCGUGAGCGAAGAAGUAUUUCGGUAUGUAAAGCUCUAUCAGCAGGGAAGAAACUGACGGUACCUGACUAAGAAGCACCGGCUAAAUACGUGCCCGCAGCCGCGGUAAUCUGAGCGGGCGUGGCAAGGC
rnacentral:rRNA from 1 species